CUUGCGUGCGGUGUGAUUAAGGGACUAAUAUGACAGAGAUGACCACUGUGGCCAUGCGCAGCUAUAGUGUAUGCCCCACUUUACCUUGCUAUCCAUCAAGUUUUGUUCAGCCUGCACAAAACUGAUUCAUCCUACGACAAGCCGUCCACUCAUGUUUGAUAAAUAAUAGCACUGCUGCCACUGCAACACCACCCAUCGCUGCUGAAAUACACAGCGACUGUGUGACGCGCACUGCCACUCCUAGCACUCUUAAACUAACAGAGCCCCCCCUGGUAGUUAUCUAUUUUAACACCCAUUGCACUCUUAAACUAACAGAGUCCCCCUGGUAGUUAUCUAUUUUAACACCCAUUGCACUCUUAAACUAACAGUCCCCCUGGUAGUUAUCUAUUUUAACACCCAUUGCACACUUUUCUCUGAUGGAGCUCGGCACACCAUUCAUCUGUCUCUAUCAACUGUGCCUAUGGGAAUGGAAGUCUCAGAGGCUUAAGUUAGGUUUCAUUUAGUCAAAUAUAAGAGGGGGGCUUGCUCGGAGGGACUGUUGGGGGUGGGUGAGUGGAGCAACGCACCCCCAAAUGUAUGCAUGUUCCCCGUUAAUAGUUAGGGGGCUUAAGGGCGGGGUACAGUACGAUACACUAGGGUACAGUUGUUUAGGUCUUGACAAAUGCUUGUGAUUUUGCUGCUACACUUUGGACUAGUUUACACAGCGGUGGUGAGCCAGUCUUAAGCUACUCUGAAGAGGCAGUGUUUCAGAACCAGAGCUCUCCUGCAUUAUCACUGCGAGCAGAAUCCCUUCAGAGUCACGGCAAUCAAACACUUACUUCUGGGGUGUUUUAUUCUUACGGGGCUGGUUGGGGCCACUGCCUCCUGAGCCCUGUCUCACAGAUACUCACAGAUGGUGUUCUGGAAGAGGCCUAGGCCUGUGGCUCCAGUUCAAAGGCCUGGUUGUUCUCAACGUGUCACUGGGAAAUGUUAGCUGACGUUGUUGUUAUUCUGUCGCUGCGUCACCAGGGGAGGGGUUAGAUCCUGCUGAGUUGCUGGGACUUCUGCAGGAAGGUACACUUGGCAGGCAGUGUUGGGCUGAGGGCGUCGCUGCCCAGCAGGUCCUCUAGUGUUGGCCUGUGAAUGGUGAGUCUGGUUAAGGAUGCCUUGAGGCUGGUGCGUGGAGUCUUGGGCAGUGGAGCAGGGAGUGUUCUGGUGUGUGUGGGGCGCCAUGUGGGUCCUGGACAGUCUGUGGCGUGUGUGGCCAACCCUCAGGCGGGUGACGGCUGUGUCGGCCAGGACAGCUUGGAGGGACGCUACUCUGUGGAAGGCGGUAACUGUCUUGUCUGGCGAGGGAAGGCCCCGCCAGUACUCUGUGGAAGGUGGUAACUGUCUUGUCUGGCGAGGGAAGGCCCCGCCAGUACUCUGUGGAAGGCGGUAACUGUCUUGUCUGGCGAGGGAAGGCCCCGCCAGUACUCUGUGGAAGGCGGUAACUGUCUUGUCUGGCGAGGGAAGGCCCCGCCAGUACUCUGUGGAAGGUGGUAACUGUCUUGUCUGGCGAGGGAAGGCCCCGCCAGUACUCUGUGGAAGGUGGUAACUGUCUUGUCUGGCGAGGGAAGGCCCCGCCAGUACUCUGUGGAAGGCGGUAACUGUCUUGUCUGGCGAGGGAAGGCCCCGCCAGUACUCUGUGGAAGGUGGUAACUGUCUUGUCUGGCGAGGGAAGGCCCCGCCAGUAGACAAAAACGCUCCUUCUUGAGCCGGAAGCCGCGUCCUCCC